ensembl:lncRNA
AGGGAGGCUGCAUCACGAAAACUGGGAGCAAGUGAUUGACUGACUGAACUAGGUGCAAGUGGUGUAAUCAGGCAGGUGGUUGGGAGCGGCAGCAGCAGGUUCAACAUCUGGUACGGCACUGGGUUGAAGUUUGUGAACAGCCGCAAGAAUCUGAAACCGUCGAUAAUUGUUUUGUGGUGGGCUAGCAGGAACUGAAUCGAUUGCUCAUGACUGCCUAAAAUGGCUCCCUGCUUACUCCCUGAACACUGUGAACACUGGUCUUAAAUACAGCUGGCUUGAUUAGUCUCAGGUGGUGAUCCUGGGAGGAGUGAUAAAGACUGGAGGUGGAGAGCAGGGACUGUGGAAAAUUAUUGUGACUCACCCAGACCUUGACACAGACCUGAGUUUUGUCCUUUUCAGCAUUUCCAACAACACUGCAGGUCCUCAUUAUCAGCCCCCACAUGCUUCAAAAGAUCCACCGUCAUCCCUGUGCCCAGGAACAGCAAACCCUCAUCCCUGAACGAUUACCGACCAGUUGCACUGACUUUGGUAGUAAUGAAGGUGUUCGAGAGGCUGCUGAAGAACAUCAUCUCCUCCUCCAUCCCAGACACCACAGAUCUGCUCCAGUUCGCCUACCGACCCAACAGAUCCACAGGACGCCCAAGUCCUGCACAUCACCCUCAGCCAUGUGGACAAGAAACAGGGUAACUAUGUGAGAAUGCUGUUUGUUGAUUACAGUUCAGCGUUUAACACAAUAGUGCCCAGGAGACUGUUCACAAAGCUGAAGGAUCUGGGACUCAACAGCCGUCUGUGUGCAUGGGUGUUGGACUUCCUCACUGGCAGAACUCAGGUGGUGAGGGUGGGUAGAUGCGUCUCUAACAGCAUCACCUUCAACACAGGAGCACCACAGGGAUGUGUCCUCUCGCCACUGCUCUACUCCCUCUACACUUCAGACUGUGUGGCCACCCACAACUCCAAUACCAUUGAAGUUUGCUGACAACACAGUGGUGUUGGGCGCCAUCUCCAACAACGAUGAGGCGGCCUACAUGGAUGAAAUGAAGAAUCUGGCAUCAUGGUGCCAGGACAACCAUCUCCAGCUGAACGCUGGCAAGACCAAGGAGCUGGUGGUGGACUUCAGAAGGAGUCAGCACAUAGACUACAAGCCCAUUAUCAUCAAUGGAGCUCCAGUGGAGAGGGUGCAGUCCUUAAAGUAUCUCGGUGUCCACAUCUCCUCAGACCUGACAUGGUCUGCCCACAUUCAGAUCCAGACCAAAAAGGCUAGGCAGCAUCUGUACCACCUACGACAACUGAGGAAGUUCAGGGUCUCUCCAGAGAUCCUCAGGAUUUUCUAUACAGGCGCUGUGGAGAGUAUCCUCACACAGAACAUCACAUCCUGGUUUGGGAACAGCUUUGUUAAGGACCAAAAAGCUUUUCAGAGAAUGAUCCGUACAGCACAACGCUGCUGCAGGAUUGCUCUCCCCCCGCUUCAGGACAUCUGCACCAGGAGAUGCCGGACUAGAGCAGCGCAGAUACUGAAGGACCCGUCCCAUCCUGGCAACAAACUGUUCCAACUUCUGAAGAAGAUUCCUCAUCAUCCGGGACAGAGAGACUCAAGAGGAGCUUCUAUCCCCAAGCCAUCCUGGCCCUAAACCAACCCCCC